UGGGGAAUAUUGGGCAAUGGGCGAAAGCCUGACCCAGCAACGCCGCGUGAGGGAAGAAGGUUUUCGGAUUGUAAACCUCUGUCCUUGGUGACGAAGGAAGUGACGGUAGCCAAGGAGGAAGCCCCGGCUAACUACGUGCCAGCAGCCGCGGUAAUACGUAGGGGGCAAGCGUUGUCCGGAAUGACUGGGCGUAAAGGGCGUGUAGGCGGCCGAUUAAGUGUGGAGUGAAAGUCCACUUUUCAAGGGUGGAAU
rnacentral:rRNA from 1 species